AGAGUUUGAUCCUGGCUCAGGACGAACGCUGGCGGCGUGCCUAAUACAUGCAAGUAGAACGCUGAAGAGAGGAGCUUGCUCUUCUUGGAUGAGUUGCGAACGGGUGAGUAACGCGUAGGUAACCUGCCUUGUAGCGGGGGAUAACUAUUGGAAACGAUAGCUAAUACCGCAUAACAAUGGAUGACACAUGUCAUUUAUUUGAAAGGGGCAAUUGCUCCACUACAAGAUGGACCUGCGUUGUAUUAGCUAGUAGGUGAGGUAACGGCUCACCUAGGCGACGAUACAUAGCCGACCUGAGAGGGUGAUCGGCCACACUGGGACUGAGACACGGCCCAGACUCCUACGGGAGGCAGCAGUAGGGAAUCUUCGGCAAUGGGGGCAACCCUGACCGAGCAACGCCGCGUGAGUGAAGAAGGUUUUCGGAUCGUAAAGCUCUGUUGUAAGUCAAGAACGAGUGUGAGAGUGGAAAGUUCACACUGUGACGGUAGCUUACCAGAAAGGGACGGCUAACUACGUGCCAGCAGCCGCGGUAAUACGUAGGCCCCGAGCGUUGUCCGGAUUUAUUGGGCGUAAAGCGAGCGCAGGCGGUUUGAUAAGUCUGAAGUUAAAGGCUGUGGCUCAACCAUAGUUCGCUUUGGAAACUGUCAAACUUGAGUGCAGAAGGGGAGAGUGGAAUUCCAUGUGUAGCGGUGAAAUGCGUAGAUAUAUGGAGGAACACCGGUGGCGAAAGCGGCUCUCUGGUCUGUAACUGACGCUGAGGCUCGAAAGCGUGGGGAGCGAUACAGGAUUAGAUACCCUGGUAGUCCACGCCGUAAA
rnacentral:rRNA from 1 species